GAUGAACGCUGGCGGCGUGCCUAAUACAUGCAAGUCGAACGAAACUUCUUUAUCACCGAGUGCUUGCACUCACCGAUAAAGAGUUGAGUGGCGAACGGGUGAGUAACACGUGGGCAACCUGCCCAAAAGAGGGGGAUAACACUUGGAAACAGGUGCUAAUACCGCAUAACCAUAGUUACCGCAUGGUAACUAUGUAAAAGGUGGCUAUACUACCGCUUUUGGAUGGGCCCGCGGCGCAUUAGCUAGUUGGUAGGGUAAAGGCUUACCAAGGCAAUGAUGCGUAGCCGAAUUGAGAGGUUGAUCGGCCACAUUGGGACUGAGACACGGCCCAAACUCCUACGGGAGGCAGCAGUAGGGAAUCUUCCACAAUGGGCGAAAGCCUGAUGGAGCAACGCCGCGUGGGUGAAGAAGGUCUUCGGAUCGUAAAACCCUGUUGUUAGGGAAGAAAGUGCGUGAGAGUAACUGUUCACGUUUCGACGGUAUCUAACCGGAAAGCCACGGCUAACUACGUG
rnacentral:rRNA from 1 species